GACGAACGCUGGCGGCGUGCUUAACACAUGCAAGUCGAACGGUAAGGCCCUUCGGGGUACACGAGUGGCGAACGGGUGAGUAACACGUGGGUGAUCUGCCCUGCACUUCGGGAUAAGCCUGGGAAACUGGGUCUAAUACCGGAUAGGACUCCGGACUGCAUGGUCUGGGGUGGAAAGCUUUUGCGGUGUGGGAUGGGCCCGCGGCCUAUCAGCUUGUUGGUGGGGUGAUGGCCUUCCAAGGCGGCGACGGGUAGCCGGCCUGAGAGGGUGACCGGCCACACUGGGACUGGGAUACGGCCCAGACUCCUACGGGAGGCAGCAGUGGGGAAUAUUGCACAAUGGGCGUAAGCCUGAUGCAGCGACGCCGCGUGAGGGAUGACGGCCUUCGGGUUGUAAACCUCUUUCAGCAUCGACGAAGCGAAAGUGACAGUAGGUGCAGAAGAAGGACCGGCCAACUACGUGCCAGCAGCCGCAGUAA
rnacentral:rRNA from 1 species